rnacentral:rRNA from 1 species
UAGCCGUAAACGAUACUCGCUAGGUGUCGGCCACGGUGCGACCGUUGUCGGUGCCGUAGGGAAGCCGUGAAGCGAGCCACCUGGGAAGUACGGCCGCAAGGCUGAAACUUAAAGGAAUUGGCGGGGGAGCACAACAACGGGUGGAGCUUGCGGUUUAAUUGGAUUCAACGCCGGAAAUCUUACCGGGACCGACAGCAACAUGAAGGCCAAGCUGAAGACUUUGCCGGAUUAGCUGAGAGGUGGUGCAUGGCGUAGUCGUG